UACCAGCACCCCGAGUGGUCGGGACGAUUAUUGGGCCUAAAGCAUCCGUAGCCGGUCCUACAAGUCUUCCGUUAAAUCCACCUGCUCAACAGAUGGGCUGCGGAAGAUACUAUAGGGCUAGGAGGCGGGAGAGGCAAGCGGUACUCAGUGGGUAAGGGUAAAAUCCUCUGAUCCAUUGAAGACCACCAGUGGCGAAGGCGGCUUGCCAGAACGCGCUCGACGGUGAGGGAUGAAAGCUGGGGGAGCAAACCGG
rnacentral:rRNA from 1 species